ACCGCCCGUCGCUACUACCGAUUGAAUGGUUUAGUAAGAUUGUUGGAUUGGUGUCGUUGUAGUGGCUUUGGCGCUCAACUGAUGCUGAGAUGAUCUAAUUUAACUAGUUAGAGGAAGUAAAAAUCUUAACACGGUUUUCGUAGGUGAACCUGCUGAAG
rnacentral:ncRNA from 1 species